rnacentral:lncRNA from 1 species
UUAAUUGAUUCACACAUACAUUAAAACAAAAAUAACUACACUGAAAUUCAGCUGGAAGCCUGGCUCCUCGUUUGUCAUAAAGCCUGCUGUUGGUGAUAGCUGACAAAGACCCUAAUGCGGAAUGGGUUGAGGUUCCCUUACUGACCUCACCUUUGUUUCUGUCUGCGAACAAGAGCCUUGAAACACACCAGAAUGCUUUAAGUUUUUCAGGAAAACUCAUGAUCUACCUUUGAUGUGUUGACAUGUGAGAAACAGCUCUGAGACCUAUCAGCUGACAACUGCUACACCAGCAGAUAAUACUUAGUCACACUUUACAAAGGAAAAAGAAAAAGACAAAGAGGAAGACAAAGAAGGGAAAAAGGAAGAGGAGGCAGAGGAAGAAGAAAUUUGCACCUCUCCCUGAAAUGAGGGGAAGGACUCGGUCAGUGUGAAAGGAUAUCCGUGUUAUGGAGGAAGCAAGCUUUGUAUCCAGAAAAGAAUGGUUCCUCUACCAGUCCACCCCAAAAUUUCUGGCAUGUUUUGUGACUAAGAAAAUGGCUCCCGCAGAGUCUGUAAACAAUUUUGGUUUUUCUUUUUCAGGAAUAGAAAAUCACUGGAGAAUAGAAA